rnacentral:misc_RNA from 1 species
CUGUCCUACACUCUAUAUUUGGUUUGCCGUUCAAAAACGGAAAUAUAAAGAGACUGGUGGAAAAACCGAACCAAGAACAAAAACAAAUCCAGAAUCCAGAAUUAGAAAUUUGUGUUGAGAGACAGUCAUCUGACAGCCAACAGAAUGGGGAAUGAAAUAAUCCAGUUCCACAAUUGCUUCAUUUUGCGAGAUGGGAAAAUCAUUAAAGAGGACCUGUGGACCUGUGAUGGCAAAAUUGUCAAUCCAGAACCCAUUUUCUUUGACCAAAAGGACUACGCUGACAUAAAAAUUGAUUGUGAAGGGCUUACGAUUGCUCCAGGAUUCAUAGAUGUACAAGUAAAUGGUGGCUUUGGUGUGGAUUUUUCUCACGAUAGUGAAACCAUUGAGGAAGGCUUGAAAGUGGUAGCUAAAGGACUUUUGGCUUAUGGUACUACUUCAUUUUGUCCUACACUGGUUACCUCAUCACCUAAAUAUUAUCACCAGGUUGUAGAAAAAAUUAAGAAAACUCCAGGAGGUUCUGACGGAGCAGAAAUCCUUGGCAUACAUGUUGAGGGACCUUUUAUCAAUAAUGAUAAAAAGGGUGCACAUGACUUGCAAUUUAUUCACAAGUUCACCAAUGGAGCCAGUUCUAUUGAAGAAGUAUAUGGAAAGCACUGGAGGAAUAUCUCAAUGAUCACUCUAGCUCCUGAGCUGGAAAAUUCAACAGAAGUUAUUAAAUACUUAACCAGUAAUGGUGUGACAGUUUCGCUGGGCCAUUCAAUGGGUAGCCUUAUUCAGGGAGAAGAAGCAGUAAGAAAUGGUGCCUCCUUUAUCACUCAUCUUUUUAACGCCAUGUUGCCUUUCCAUCACCGAGAUCCUGGGCUGAUCGGGUUGCUAGCCUCUUCGAAAAUUCCACCCGGAAAAACUGUUUAUUACGGAAUUAUCGCUGAUGGAAUCCACACUCAUCCAGCAGCGCUUCGCAUUGCCUACAGAACUCAUCCUAAAGGACUCGUUUUAGUAACCGAUGCGAUGUCGGCGCUCGGCUUGCAACCUGGACAAUACAAACUCGGUUACCAGGACGUUGAUGUCAAGGAAAACUGUGCCGUGUUGGCUGGGACCACCACAUUGUGUGGAGCGAUAGCCUCGAUGGAUAAAUGCGUCCGUCACUUGAAGCGCGCUACAGAGUGCUCUACUGUUGAAGCUCUGGAAGCAGCUACUUUGCAUCCAGCUUGCGCCUUAGGCAUUAACGAUCGCAAAGGGUCUCUUCUCUUUGGGCGCGAUGCCGAUUUUGUCAUUCUCGAUCACGACCUCAAUGUCGUUUCCACCUGGAUUGCCUCACAGAAAGUUUAUCAAAAUCCUGCCGCUGUGGAACUGACUUCUCGGAGAAUAACCAAGCAAUAGGUUUAAUUACUUUAGUCUUAUUUUUGGGCUAGUUGGGAUUUUGGAGAGGUAUGCAGUUCAGUGUUAUUGCAAGCCACCAAAUUGAGAGAUGUCAAGCAGUUGACAAGACUUUUCCCAUAAUUUUUUCUGGGUGUCGCGAUUGCGAACCAGUUUUAUCGGCUCGACUGCUUUGGAAUUUUCAAAAUAAUUCCCACUCAAGUCUUCCACUUGCGGCGAUAAAGCAGCGUGAACCACCCGUUGAGCGCCCUGUUCUUCAGUCUACAUAAAAUACAGUUAAAGAAUUUCGUUACUGAAAAUUCGGAUGCAACGUGGGAAAUCAGAUCACGCGGAAAAUCAGAAAGAUUCCGCUAACGACUUUACGGUGGACCAUCCUAUCCCGCGAUUUCCACCUGUGACGACGACGUAUUCAUUUUCUCUGUUUAUAGGAUCUCACAUUUCAGAAAUCAAACUACAGCUGCCGAGGAUUAGCAUUUUUAGAAAUAUGUAGAAAUCCAGAAAAAUCUUUUUUAUGAAAUUCAUUUUCAAAAAGAAUCAGAUCUAGCUGUAGAAAAAAAAAACCGGCGGUAAGACUGGGAUAAAAUUUAAAUAUUGCUAAUAAUUCAACGUACGGAGACAGACCUAGUGUUUCAAGAGAUGAAUGCUGGAAUCAAAUGUCCAAUAUAUUCUGCUCAGUUACUAUCACUGGUAAGCUCCGAGUGCUGUUCGCUUGGUUAAAUGUUUUCUCGGAAGCUAUUUCAAAUCUAACCCCUAGGCCGAAAAUGAAAAAUGACCAGAGCAAACGAGAAGGUUGCCUUCCUUAAAUGAGAUUAUGAGAAGGGCUUUUCUUCUUUAUCGUUUGUCUAAGAAAUAUGAAACGGCACAAACUCCAGAUGUUCUCGCUUCUUUCUACCAGAAAGGACAACUAACGAUAUUAUUUUGAUAGUGUUGCUAUUUCAUAAACCUAAUUAUCAAGUUUCACUGAGCUGCUUGCGGAGCUGUCAAUUUGGAUUAACGAAAUUUGAUUUAAGCAUUUUUGCGUUUUUAUUGGUGACGCUUUUCUUCCUAUAAAACCAGUAAAUAUAUGAAAUAUCUUUGUAUAUUCUCGUUCCCGUUUUGUUUUCCUUUUUUUUUACUAACCUGAAAUCUAAAGUUUUGUUUCCAUUCUCUGGCAACAGUGUUUUCAUGUUUAUGUUUUUACAUAGUUUCGAGUUUUGACUUUGAAAAUUAGUAGAAUUUCAAUUUGUUCUCUUAUAACCUGCUUAUAACAGCGUAAAUCGACGUGGUUAUGGUUACCAUGAAAAUGACCUGUUUUUAAUAUUUACCCAUCAGUGAAGUUGCAACAUUAUGUAGGUAAGAUGCACACAUUUUAUAAUCAAUUUCCAUUUUCCGCCAUCCCUAGACAUUUUGUUUUUAAGUUUAUGCAAGUUCUUAAGCCUUUAGUUGAACCGAACAGGCCAUUUAGACCGAUCUGAUUAGACAACUACUCAAAAUGUAUGAACAUGUUCUGUAGUUAUAAUAUUAUAUACCUCUGUGGUCAUUGAAUUGGAAAGCUUUGCAAAUAGAUACAUGACUCAGACAUUCAGCCGAUUCAGGCCAGCAACACUCAGCCCAAUGGCCUCAAAGACCUUUAUCAAGACCUUGAGUCAUUAAUCAAACCGUAUGUUUUAAAAAUGUUUUAUCUUUUUUCAGCAUGAAUUACAUCAUUCAGCUAUUUAAUAAGAUAUCUUAAGCAUUUGGCAUGAAGCUUCAUAAUUUUAAAUUAUUGAUGUGCAGUGUAAAUAUUGUAGGUACUGAAGAACCGAUAAAAUUUUUUCUGUUUAUUGAUUAUCCCAGAUACAGUAUACUGAAUUAUAACCAAUUAAAAUUGGAAAAACAGGGAAAACAGAAUGGA